UGUGUCGGACCCUCCCCGGGGCCUCGGAGCCGCGCGGUCUUGCCUGAUUGGGGUCUGCAGCGCGGAAAACGUGGCAGGCCAUCUGCGACUCCGGGUCGUCGGGCUGCGCCUUGAUCAGGUUUCUCAAGAGGCAGGUCAGGUCGUCUGGUAUUCCCACCUGGAAAGCCCCAUAAAGAACAUAGUAACCAUGGUUAAUAAACAAGAGAGAAGUACCAGCACUCAACCUGAUGAAGUCAUCUGAGGAGGCUCAUCUCUUCAACAACUCUCCAGGAACACGCAUGCUCACUGCAGCCACUACAAUCCCAAUAGCAGCAGCCAGCUGAAAGCCAGCAAUUUUCAGUGUGAAAUAUAAAUCCUGCCACUUACUGCCCAUAUAAGGACAAAUAAAGCAGAAAAUUGACAAAACACACACACACACAAAAACACAAAACUUUAUCCCAGUGCAGAUUCGCAACAGCUGCAAAGUUGUCUCCAUCAUAUCCAAAUACAGACCCGUGUAGGAACCAAAAGCCAAUAUAUCUGCCCAGCCCCAUCCACACCCAACACACACUGGUGGGACAGAGACAGGAAAACAUAAGGAACAAACUGCCUCUUACUUGAUUGCCUACUUACUUAUUUGAAAGAUGAACGGGAGACACAGCUCUCCUGAUCCACAGCAGUGAUGAAAUCCUGCCAGGAAGGAAUUAUGAAGACCUCCUGCCCAAGAUCACGUAACUAACUCAGUUUCUUCAGUUUUAAAGAACAGAUAAUAAAUUCUCCACUCUACCACA